GUGUGAUGACUCACAAUGCCAAAUCGUGUUGUGAAAGACAUCGUAAAGUGGGAGUUACACCAUCAAAUGAAAUUCGAAUUAUAGUAGGUUGACGGCAUAAAUACCAUCUUUGUUGAUGACAAUAAACUGAAAGGAUGAGAUCUUAGUGCUUGGUGGCUCCUCAUAGUUUGCUUGAUAAUUUAUUCAUUUAAACCAAACAAAAUAUUUAUAAAUUAAAGUAAAUAUCUGUAUGUAAUAUUCAAUGCAAUUUUUACUUACUUUCAGCUGAAUAUUAAUUGCAAAAUGCAUUGAUCUAAUAAAUAAACUUAUAGAUCUCAAAUAUCAUUGGUCAAUUAGACGUAAUUAAUGAAAACAUAAAUAUAUUUAAUCAUUUUCUUUAUAUGUGUGAAAAGUGUCUAAGUGACACUUAUAAUGAAAUAGAAGGAGUUAUAAUGAAAUAGAAGGAGUAUGUCUUUCUAGAAUGUCCGAUCAAAGCCAUCUAUAUUAUUAAAGUUGAAGUACACAUUGAGAUUGUUUGGCAAUAUGGAUAGUAGUUAAAAAAAUAGUACUGUUUGGAAACAUGGAUAGCAGUAAGUUAGGAAAAAAAAUAAU
rnacentral:lncRNA from 1 species